AACGAACGCUGGCGGCAGGCUUAACACAUGCAAGUCGAGCGCCCCGCAAGGGGAGCGGCAGACGGGUGAGUAACGCGUGGGAACGUACCCUUUGCUACGGAAUAGCUCCGGGAAACUGGAAUUAAUACCGUAUGUGCCCUACGGGGGAAAGAUUUAUCGCCAUUGGAUGAACCCGCGUCGGAUUAGCUAGUUGGUGAGGUAAAGGCUCACCAAGGCGACGAUCCGUAGCUGGUCUGAGAGGAUGAUCAGCCACACUGGGACUGAGACACGGCCCAGACUCCUACGGGAGGCAGCAGUGGGGAAUAUUGGACAAUGGGCGCAAGCCUGAUCCAGCCAUGCCGCGUGAGUGAUGAAGGCCUUAGGGUUGUAAAGCUCUUUCGCCGACGAAGAUAAUGACGGUAGUCGGAGAAGAAGCCCCGGCUAACUUCGUGCCAGCAGCCGCCGUAAGAC
rnacentral:rRNA from 1 species